rnacentral:piRNA from 1 species
UCCACUUUGUUCCGGUCUGGGAGGGUUCC